rnacentral:rRNA from 1 species
GUGGAUUAGAUACCCUGGUAGUCCACGCCGUAAACUAUGGGUGCUAGCCGUCGGUCGGCAUGCCGGUCGGUGGCGCAGCAAACGCAUUAAGCACCCCGCCUGGGGAGUACGGUCGCAAGAUUAAAACUCAAAGGAAUUGACGGGGGCCCGCACAAGCGGUGGAGCAUGUGGUUUAAUUCGAGGCAACGCGAAGAACCUUACCAGCCCUUGACUUCCCGAUCGGGGGACCAGAGAUGGACCUCUUCAAUUGGUCGGUGACAGGUGCUGCAUGGCUGUCGUCAACU